CCUUGAUCCAAUAGUACUAAUUCAAUAAGAUCCAGCAGCCUUUCUGCCAAACAUCAUAUCUGUGAACGAUAUGAAUGCAUGGAAAAGUCGUCUCAUAAAUUAAUCAAUGAGAUCUACAGACAGCGACGUGCCUCUGACAUCAUGCAGCAUGGUUUAUUUCAAGCUAAUCAUGCACGCACAGUUGUGUCUGUUUCAUAUCAUGGCUUGUCGAUCCAGAUCAUCACUGGGUUAAUCUAACGUAUUGAUUUGCUUAGCUCUUGAGAAAAAGCCAAGAGGGAUCAGAACAUGUGGCCAACUGUUCUCUACUAAUAGGCAUUAAUUGGAUCGGAUCAUAUGGCUCAAUACAACCCGGCCAAUCACGCUGGCGAAUCUCUCUCGUUGUAUAUAUAGAUCAAUCGUGGCGGCAUAGUUUAUACUUUGGAUCUAAUCUGCUUAACAUUGGACUGCAUGCUGGAUCAUGUAUUUAGAAACAAAAAAAACAGGUUAAAGUGGCAUGCUCUUGCAUGGCCGAUGUAAUUAA
rnacentral:lncRNA from 7 species